rnacentral:rRNA from 1 species
UACGGGGGGAGCAAGCGUUGUUCGGAUUUACUGGGCGUAAAGGGCGCGUAGGCGGUCAGCACAAGUCAGUUGUGAAAUCUCCGGGCUUAACUCGGAAAGGUCAACUGAUACUGUGCGACUAGAGUGCGGAAGGGGCAACUGGAAUUCUCGGUGUAGCGGUGAAAUGCGUAGAUAUAUGGAGGAACACCAGUGGCGAAGGCGGCUUUCUGGUCUGUAACUGACGCUGAGGCUCGAAAGCGUGGGGAGCAAACAGG